CCUACGGGAUGCAGCAGUGGGGAAUAUUGGGCAAUGGACGCAAGCCUGACCCAGCAACGCCGCGUGAAGGAAGAAGGCUUUCGGGUUGUAAACUUCUUUUGUCAGGGACGAAGCACGUGACGGUACCUGACUACUACGCCACGGCUAACUACGUGCCAGCAGCCGCUGCAAUACGUCGGUGGCAAGCGUUCUUCGGAUUUACUGGGUGUAAAGGGCGUGUAGGCGGGACUGCAAGUCAGAUGUGAAAACCACGGGCUCAACCUGUGGCCUGCAUUUGAAACUGUAGUUCUUGAGUACUGGAGAGGGAGACGGAAUGCCUAGUGUAGCGGUGAAAUGCGUAGAUAUUAGGAGGAACACCAGUGGCGAAGGCGGUCUGCUGGACAGCAACUGACGCUGAGGCGCGAAAGCGUGGGGAGCAAACAGGAUUAGAUACCCGAGUAGUC
rnacentral:rRNA from 1 species